UUUUACCCUAAACUCAUAAACACACAUUUAGAGAGACAAAGAGAGACGGAGAGAGAACGACAUGACAGAGAGCCGAUCACCCCAACCCGAUGAAGGUGAUGAUGGUGACGACUCCGACAACCAGAUUGGCAACGAUGGCAGCUAGGGUUCCAGUUUGGGGGUUUUGAAACCAGAUCGUCAAGGUGUUCAGGAUGUCUGCAAUCUGGUUGUCCAAUUUGGGGGUUUUGAAACACGCAGCCGGAAUUAACAGUUCAUGACUCAUUUCGCCGUUGCCAAAGUCGCUCAAGAAUCAAAUCUUCAAUUGAGAUAUGCUGUGUUUUCAAGGACUAUUCUUCUGUCCCGAAGUAGCUUCAUUGCUCCUUCAUAAUUUCUGCAUUUAUCACAUCGGUCCACCUGGCUGUGAACGUGCUAUUUUGUAUUUACGGUUUAAUUAUGACCACAUAAUAUUCAAUAAUCAAGUUCUGAUAUUCAUAUGUUUUGAAUGUUUGAGAGAUCAUGUUUAUUAUGGAGGAUAUUAACUUUUAUGUGCCCCUUUAAAAUUAAUAAUCAAAUAAUCACAUGUUUUGAGUGUUUGACAAAUUAAAAUAAAAAAAUUUAAAAUUAUAUUAUUAACGUAAAAAUUCUCUUCUGGGAUUUGUACAAGAGUCGUUGCAGCUAGGAGCAGCAGCCAUAUGUCCCGAUGAUCCGGUUCUGUCUGUGGAGGAUCUUUGUGAUCAGAUUCUCGAGGUCCUUAACUAUUUUAGGCUCGGUGCAGUGAUGUGCAUGGGGGCAAUGGCGGGUGCCUACAUUCUUACGCUCUUUGAGACAAAGCAUAGAACGAUAUGAUGCAUAUAUGAAUUCAGUGUGAAGAUGGGGAAUAAGAGAAUUAUUGUUGAUAGCAUCAAUCACUCACAUAAAUGAGACAUGCCCACUGGUGAUAUAUUGGUUUAGCUAAAUUAUAUAAUAUCUUGCUAAUUGUUAAUGUGUUAAAAUCUUUUGUACAAAAAGGAUGUUCUUUUAUCUUAACUUUAGUUUUGGUAUGUUUUGUUCAGUACGUUCGUGGACUGGCAGCAUGAGGAGUUCUUUUUCAUCAUCCAGAACUAAUUCUUUAAGAUACCAUGUUCAUUCUGCUUACUGUACGCAUAACUUAAGGUUAAAACUUGUGAUUACGUCAGUUAUGUGUGUUAAUAGUUAUCAGUGUAACGGGUUGAUGGCAAGUUAUUGGGUCUUACGGCUUACAUGCUCAAGGCCGAAUUGGGGCCAAAUGUCUUAGUGUUGUAGGGAAUAAAGUUUUUGAUGAUUAUAUUUGUAAUCCUUUGGAUUUUAGGAACAUGGGCAGGAGAGAGCAUACGUUAGUGAGAGCGUAUUCAUGUUUGUCCUUCUGUCUAUCCUCUUGGUAAUUAUGUGUUCUCUUUAAUGUGUUGCGAAUUUUGAUUAGUUAUGGUAACUUAUUUUGGUGUUGCUUUACUCGCUAUGUUAUUUUGGAUUUAUGGUUGUUAUGUAAAAAUAUUAGACUCAUCUGGUGUUUUGUACCAUGACUUUUUUUCUGUUACAGUGGACAUUCCAUCCUUUCAUAUUUAAGAGUAAAAAGAUUUACACAGUUCUAAUAUGGUGAAGGGUCCUCGCGUUUUUAGUUGUAUGUGUAUGAAAAUUGUGAGAGAAAAUGUGUAGCUUUUACUAAUUUGUUAUAACCAGGUUUGAUUUUCAGUUUGGGCAACUAGAAAAGCCGCAUGACGAGGACGACCGGCUAAAUGAUGCUAACGACUCAACGAUGCUAGCGGCGUGAAUCCUCUACGACUUUCGAAGAUUUCCAUCAAUAAGUAAAAGCCAUCAAUGAUGGCAUGUGUAGAAAUGAAAGUUUACAUUGGUGAAAAAUAUCAAUGACUAAUUGAUGUUUAAUCUUGAGGAUUUGCUGACCUCCAAAAAUCCACAAUUGGAAAAAGAGAAACCUAAGGCGACUUCAAGUGCUAAAAAAACACCAAAACCACCACGAUCCCAGGCGCACAAAGCUUUUUAACUGGAUGUUGCAGACCCGUAGCUGAUUAGGGAGCUUGCCAUGAUUAAGAGGGCGAGAAUGGAGCGUAUGAAAGGCUACCUCAUCCUCAUCAUCGCAUAUUCAAAGAAGGGAUGUCAAGAUUGAUAGGAAGGGGAAACACCUUUUGAACAAUUGCCUACUAGGAAACAACCGCAACUGGAAGCCGUAGUUCAAAAAGCCACGUCGCCUAGGACAAUGUCUAGCCCCCGCCGCAUCGCGGCGGGUUACAUUUCUAGUUGUUAUUAAAUUAGCACAUAUAAUUAUGCUAACUGAGGGUAUAUGGGAAGCAAAAAAAACGCCAUUAUGCAGAAACUAGACAAAUCAAAACACAUAAAAAAAGAUCUAGCAAAGGUUGAAUCUUGUUGGUGAAUACGAAUCUAACAUUUAGACUAUUUUUUGGAAUAA